GACGAACGCUGGCGGCGUGCUUAACACAUGCAAGUCGAACGAAGUGGCGAACGGGUGUGUAACGCGUAAUAAACCUGCCCUUCAGCGGGGGACAACAGUUGGAAACGACUGCUAAUACCGCAAAAUGAAGGAGGGGUUUGCGUCUGAUUAGCUAGUUGGAGGGGUAACGGCCCACUAAGGCGAUGAUCAGUAGCCGGUCUGAGAGGAUGAACGGCCAAAUUGGGACUGAGACACGGCCCAGACUCCUACGGGAGGGAGCAGGGGGGAAUCUUCCGCAAUGGACGAAAGUCUUACGGCGCAACGCCGCGUGAGUGAUGACGGCCUUCGGGUUGUAAAGCUCUUUUAAUCGGGACGCGGUACCGGAAUAGAAAGCCACGGCUAACUACGUGCCAGCAGCCGCGGUAAUUC
rnacentral:rRNA from 1 species